AAAGGCCAUGCUUAUGAGCCGGAGAAGAUAGAGCAGAAGUGAACAACAAAGAGAGUCUUCUCUGAAGCUCCUCAGUGAAAAUGAAUCCCACUGUGAAAGUGAAGGAAAUCUCUGAACUAAAGGCACACUGGACCACCAUGGUUGAAGGCUUGGCACUGUGAUAAAACAUAGAUGAGAAAUAACACACAACCCUUACAAGCCACAAGUCAUGAAGAAAUGUAAUCAACUUAGAUAAUAUGCUCUCUCCAAGCCACCA
rnacentral:lncRNA from 1 species